rnacentral:snoRNA from 1 species
UGUUGGCUAUGAGGAUUUCUAAUCACAGCUUCAAUGCCAGUUCUGCUUCUGAAAUUCGUGAUUGUUAGAGCUGUUUAAUGUUCCGAGCCACUC